CGUUCUGAGUUGUUUUCAUUUCCUAAUCAUGUUCCUCUUUAAAACGCUACUCCAGUAGGGAAAACGAAACCCAUGUUUAUGAUCGGAAUACUCUUUUAACAUGUCAGGAGCAAGGUGUCGUGUUUCGCAAUCUAAUGGAAAGAAAAUAAAAUUUGAGAUGGAAACUUAAGCUACUGUAACUAUUUAAAAGCACAGAAUUCUAAAGGAAUCUGUUUUCAGACUGCACGUUGAAGAACUGGAGCCGGGAGGAACCGAUAACGUGUUCACGCUGGAGGAGAUGCUCGUAGUUAACGCGGAACCUCGGCCCGCACGUCGCUGGACUGUCAUAGUCGCCGAGCGCUGCUCUGACUUUCCUGAACUCCAUGGCCCAGUGCUGCUUAGCCGUUAAGCUCAGGGAUGCAGCGCCUGCUGUAGGCUGAAGAGGCGGCCCGCUUCUUCCUAUUAAGAGCUUGCGUUCCCCCUGGGUUGGAAGACUACUGAAUUCUGACUCCUGCUAAGUCACAGGACCCGCCACCACUUCUACUGGCUACCACACCAAAAACUGAUGUGUUAUGUGGGGUGUGAGAAGUUGAUGGCAGUGUCUGGACGCCUGUCAGUGAGCGUUCUGCUCAAGCGUGGGGCUGUGCACCACGUGGCAGGGAGGCGGCACAGACGAGAGGACACGAAGAAAUACGGGUGUGCAAGCGCGGGGGGCGGAGUACGCAACGGAACAGCGCGGGUCAGAAAGACCGCCGUGCGGGUGUGCAGUUGUUACACAGUGAUGCUCCACCGCAUUCGUCAACGAUCGUGGUAUGCCAGGCACUGAGAAAGAGGUGUGAAGUCCCACCCAACAGAUAAAUAAACAAAACAGCAGAUGUGAAAAUCAAGAGAAUCUCAGUAAAGAAUUUUAAGUGUAAGUGAAAAACUCCAAGUUGCAGAAAAAAAUACGGCACCAUAUGCAUAUCCAUUUGUGAGUAUUAUAUGUCUGUAUAUACAUACAUAUACUUCUACAGAUGUAUGUCUGUCCAUAUGUACAUAUUCAUGCAUAUACACAUCCAUCAUAUGUAUAUGUAUACAUAUGCACAUAUACGAAUACGCAAAUAUAUAAUGUGUGUGUGUAUAUAUAUAUAUAUAUAUACAUACAUGUUAUGCAUACAUACAAAAUGUGGGAUAAUAUAAAUUAUUUGCCAUGAUUAUGUAUUGCAUCUAUUUAAAAUAAUGAUAAAAUAGCAAAUGUGGGAGUUUUUCCAUAUUUUGAGAGUACUGUUUUCUAUAAUAGUUAUUGUAAUGAUUCUUUCGUUGGCAUUAAGAUCAUACUUAUGAUGUUUAGAAAUAUUUGGAAUGAUGGUUUAAGGGUGUGAAUCAAAAGUAGAAUUUUGCCAAAUAGGUUUUGUAUACUUUUUCUUAUUUUGUAUACUUUUUCUCAGUGUUAUUCACUUAAGUUAGGAACUGUAAUUCACAAUCAAGUAGUUUGGUUUUGACACACAAGUUCUUCACCCAUAUAUGGAUCAAAGAAAUCUUGGACUAGGUAUACGGGCAUUUUUUGGUCUAGUUUUCUAUUGGCUCCAUUUAAAAAUCUAAAUUUGAAUUUUAUGUCAUGGACCGCUGAGUUGAAAUAUGGCUAUUUCAAUUUUUGAGGGCUACCUGUAGUUUCAAUUUUGCUUCAAAAGAACACUUCAAAAUGAUUUCUUUCAAAAAUGUAAUUGCCCAAUUGAGACAUAUUAGUGAGAACUCAAAAAGAUUUGAAAAAGUUAAUUUAUUUGUAUAAAUAUCUAUACUGUAACAUAAUUAACUAAAUAGCCUAUUAAGCUGGAAAAUAAGUAGAUAUUAUUUACGUAAUAUUAUAGUACAUCUAUAUUAUCAGUUGCAACUAUUUUAAAAUAGCGUUUUCAUUUAACUAUUCACUUUUGUUUCAAAUUUUAGAGAGAUUUUCCCAAUUCUGAGAACACAGGUUUCCUAAAUAAAAGACUGCUAAACCAAGUUGAGUUCUUAAAAUGUCUAUGGAGUCCAACUCUAAAUUUAUUAUCACUCUUUUUGACUAUAAAAUUUUUAAUCUUUGAGAGGAGUUCAUAAGAAAACAGCUUUAAAUCUGAACUUAACUGAUUUAGUCUAAGGUUUGUCUAUUUAUUUUUUUGAAAAAGUAAUUUAAAAACAAAUAGAAAGUAAUCAGGCUUUCUAAAAAUGCAUUUUCUAUUUCUUAUGAUGUAGUUUUCUUGUUGGUAACGGUGGUAUUUUUUGGCUGUGUCACAAAACUUGAAUAGCAAGGAAAGUGAGCAGAUAAUUCAGACUUAAAAAUAAAGUGUUUUAGCUAUUGGCAGAUGUCAAGACAACUUGAGACUUAAUGAUUACUGAGCUGCAUACCUGCCAUCCUUAUCUGUCUCUAGCAAAGUUGACAAAACAAGGUAGUCUCAUGUCAAAACAGAUUGGGAAGGAAGGAAGAAAGACAGAAACUUGGGCAGAGUUAAGAAGAAGUCUUGCGUUUUCAUUUCAAGUUUCCUCUUUAUUCUAAAUGAUCUCCUAAACAAAGUCUUAUGUGCAUCCCAAAUAAAGCAAGUUACUAAACCACAGAAUAUUAAUCGGAAAGCAUUCUGCACCAUUAAAUUCGACGAUCUGGCAGAUAAAAUCUCACUGAUCCACUCACUCCCCACGCCCUCAGUUGAAAGCAUGGAUCUCCAAGGUCCUUAUCUAAGGGACAAAUGUCUGCGCGUGGCGACGGCAUUCUCUUUUUCUCUCCUUACCGAAACUCGCUUGCACUGACCCGUAGCACGCCACUCCUUCCUGCAGGUACACAAAGCCAGUCCUUAACACUGGCGUAUUCGUGGUCAUCCUUCAAGACUCCAACUGAAUGUAAUUUCCCCUUCGAAACCUCCCCUGAACCACCUUACCGCUCUCGUGCCCCCGCAGUACUGCCUGCAUAUUUCUAUUCUAUCAUUUUUCUGUACUUCUCUGAUUUACGUGUCUGUUCUUCCCGCUGGAUCAGUGUUGCCAAGCAUCUGAUACUUGAGUCUUCAUUUCCAUUAGAGAAUCAUGGUACUUUCUCCUGCUGAGUUAGGAGUCUCCUGAAAACUGCCACAGCUUCUUCUAACCAGCUGGCACUGAUACAUCCAUGAAAUCUAUUUGCCAUAUCUGCUCUGAACUGUGCCGUCCUUGGCAUAUCUUAUUUGUCUGUGUGUCCUCUGACCGGGAACACAGAAUGGAUGUCAUACAUGCAUAAGAACCUUUUCAGGAUGAGGCUUCCAGAUGUAUCUAUACUUGAUAAGCAAAGCAAUUUAUUCCUACCUAUCAUAUCGUAGGCGAUGGCUUUUAAUUUUCACCAUCAGGGAGCAAGAACUACGGCUGAAUGUCAUAAUAAUUUUCCAUUUUUUUCUUCUAAAUCCUGUGUUUUGUUAACUGUAGGCACAGCCCACAGUUUUCCACCAUAAACUACCAACCUGCAGUCCAAAAUGGGGCCUUCCACAAUGGUCUUUCUAUUGUAGACACUAUGCCUUUGAGAGCUAAAGCUUUCUAAGUCAGGCAUCAAGCUAAUGAUUUAGUUAUUUAUUCCUUUGAACCAGCUACUUUGGUGACUCAUUUUUCUCCCUAACCCAUGCUAUUAUACACUAAUCCAUACAUUACUUCCCCUCAAUACAGAUGACACAGACUGUUUACUCAGGAUGAUUUUGCAAUAUGCCCAUUAACAAAGACUUUGUGGGCAGGAAGAAUACCGGUUAUUCAACCAAGUUUAGGAACACAGCUGAGUGGUAGACCAGAUUAGCAGGGUGUUAAACAUCCAUUAAUAAUGGCAGGGCAACAAACUUGAAGGUUUUGAUUUUAGUUCAGAUAAGCCCUCUAAAUUCAGGACUUGGCUAACCGUACUUGUAGGUUUCUCUUACAGAAAACCUGGUCCGUCGCGGCAGGGGAUCGGCUGCGUGAAUGUUAAGUCAGAACGCAAACAGAGUUUGUAAUAAUUAUUAUGAUACAAUACAUUUUAAAAUUAUUAUGCAUGUUGAACCUCACGAUAGUCUAGAUUUCAACUAUUUGACAUUACUUUUUCCCCCAUAUCUAUGUUCCUCAGAUUGCAGGUAUUGAUUUGGGGUUCAAAAAUACUGUCACUCUGGUAAAAAGUGUUUAUUCCUAUUUAGAAACUUUAGCCAAACUAAUUCCAUUCUCGAUUUUAAAAAAAUCACUACUUCCCUUCAGUUUUCUUUGAUUCUCACAAUUUACUGUGCACGCACCUGCUUCCUCCACCGAUCUGUAAGUUCUUUGAAACUGGGGGCCGUGCUGUUUAUUUUAAUAUUCUAUUAACGCCUCUACAUUUUAGGUGCUCAACUAGUAACUAGUAUUACUAAGAAUGUUUUUUGCCAUAUAUAUAUGUACGUCUCAUCUCUUCAUGAUUUGUGGGAAAUUUUAUGACCAUUAAAAUGGUUGGUUAUCUCUAGUGUCACAAGAAAUCAAUUUGCUUUUCCAGUUCGGGUUGCGCGAUUACUCUGAGCCAGUAACUGUGCUGAUCGCUUUACGCAGAUUUUCUCGA